rnacentral:rRNA from 1 species
GACGAACGCUGGCGGCGUGCUUAACACAUGCAAGUCGAACGGAAAGGCCCUGCUUUUGCGGGGUGCUCGAGUGGCGAACGGGUGAGUAACACGUGAGUAACCUGCCCUUGACUUUGGGAUAACUUCAGGAAACUGGGGCUAAUACCGGAUAGGAGCUCCUGCUGCAUGGUGGGGGUUGGAAAGUUUCGGCGGUUGGGGAUGGACUCGCGGCUUAUCAGCUUGUUGGUGGGGUAGUGGCUUACCAAGGCUUUGACGGGUAGCCGGCCUGAGAGGGUGACCGGCCACAUUGCGACUGAGAUACGGCCCAGACUCCUACGGGAGGCAGCAGUGGGGAAUAUUGCACAGUGGGCGGAAGCCUGAUGCAGCAACGCCGCGUGCGGGAUGACGGCCUUCGGGUUGUAAACCGCUUUCGCCUGUGACGAAGCGUGAGUGACGGUAAUGGGUAAAGAAGCACCGGCUAACUACGUG